UCUACCUUACGUGACGGUUCAAGUGAACUUGCAUUUUCAGCUUUUAAUAACAAGCCAUGUAAUGAGAGAUCUUGAAUCGUGGCUUGUAAUGCCAAGUCACCUUGUUCCAAUAAAGCUGAAACUUGAUAGAUAAUGCGUGAAAAGCGUCGUCUCUCCGUCAUAGAGCUUUCUCAUUAAGUCGUCAAAUCAGUCGAAGACUAUAUCAAAUAGAACAAAAACUGUUCAAUUUUUGUUCUUAAAAUAUCGAGCUAGCACAGAGUUACGAUUGCUAAAGGUCAAGCUCUUAAUUGAAAAAAUGCCAAUUUG
rnacentral:ncRNA from 1 species